AGGAAGUUCUCUGAGGCACUCCCUGGCCAUCCUGGGGUCACCAAACUCAAGAGAUUUCUCGGGCAAAUCAGUGUUGAUUGAUUAUUUCUCACGUGCUGCUGAUGUCCACUGUGGCUUCC
rnacentral:lncRNA from 1 species